UAAAAUGUUUAAUUUAACAAGAUUAAUUACUAACAUCCCAGUGUUAUUUUGUGAUAUUCAUAUAACCAUAUAAGUUUAUAUUACAAAAGGCUAGCAAAUAGGGAAUUUAACCUAAUAAAAAAAAAGUAAAAAAAAAAAACCACAAGUAAAAGGUUGCAUUCAGCGAAACUCUUUAUUGCAUUGUAUUACUGCCUUCAAUAGGAAGUCUUCAUUAUUGAAACUCAUUCAACCUCCUACAGGGAGAGAAAGAUUGCAGAAAGAAUCGUUACCUAUAACCACAUUACCUAACUGCAAUUAUAGUAUAAUUCUCUUUUAUCUAUAACGAUAAGCAUUAAUUAUAAUGCGCUUCAUUUCCAAGAGGUCAAGAUGCGUUAAAAUGUCAAAAAAAAAUGAUGUAAUUUCUUCAACAUUCUGGCAAGUGUGCUUGAGAAAAACUAAAAUGAAUGGGCUUCAAUCCACAUUUCUCAGUUCUUAUAAAAGUCUUUGGGAGUGUCGCAAUUCUAGUAUUCGUCCACCCUCUCCAAGCUUCAGCCAGCUCAGUUACAUCCGGUGCAGUGCCGGAAGCCAUUUUUGCGGCAUUACAGUGGAGAAGUCACCGGAGACGGUGAUAUUUUACACUCACUUUUUAAAAGUGCUUCCCUGGAUUACUGUGAAUGAGUCCCAGUGAUGCAUAGGAUUUCUGGAUGAACGGAGUACCCUUUACAGUGGUGUCUCCAGUGAGCUGCCUGACCCUGGCCGAGCUGUAUUAGGUCUUUGUCAGCACUACAUCCCUUUUGUUCACCACAGUUUAGGAUGUUCAGUGAGAAUUCACUGGUGGAUUCCGCGUUUGGAAAGGUUUAGGCUGGGAGUGUGUUGUCAUACCAGCAGAAACAACCUGCAACAUUAUUCACCAUCAAGAUGCCCCAUCGCCGCCACAUCUGCCACUUGACCCAUCUGUCUGCUUGUUUGUCCAUAGAAAACGUAGAGUUUUUUUUAUAGACACAACAGUGUUGUACAGGAAAUGUUUAAGACUUUAUCAGAUUUACUUAUAUAUACAUGUUAUAUUUACAUGUUUGCAUUACCGUAGUGAAGGUAUCAGAGUCAUUUAUAUUUACAUGAUUGCAUUGCCAGUGCAGGUAUCAGUCAUGUCUGACAUUGUGAGAUUCUGUUUGACCCCACGAAUGUCUAGGAACAUUGUGUGCCUGCCUUCUCUGGAUGUAUUCUAGACUAUAAACAUUAGUCAAUGACACGUGUAUCUGAUUAUUGAAAUGAGGUUAUUAUGCUUGUCCAGCUUUUAUUUUCCAGACUGACUUUCACUUCUGCUUAUGCUAUAUAUAUGCAGCACCAUGUAUAAUAAAGUUGAGCUUAGAAU